rnacentral:rRNA from 1 species
AACGUGAAGCCACCUUCGGGUGGUGGAAAGUGGCAGACGGGUGAGUAACGCGUGGGAACGUGCCUUUCGGUUCGGGAUAACCCAGGGAAACUUGGGCUAAUACCGGAUACGCCCUCCGGGGGAAAGAUUCAUUGCCGAAAGAUCGGCCCGCGUCGGAUUAGCUAGUUGGUGGGGUAAAAGCCUACCAAGGCGACGAUCCGUAGCUGGUCUGAGAGGAUGACCAGCCACACUGGGACUGAGACACGGCCCAGACUCCUACGGGAGGCAGCAGUGGGGAAUAUUGGACAAUGGGCGCAAGCCUGAUCCAGCCAUGCCGCGUGGGUGAAGAAGGCCCUAGGGUUGUAAACCCCUUUCAGCGGGGAAGAUAAUGACGGUACCCGUAGAAGAAGCCCCGGCUAACUCCGUGCCAGCAGCCGCGGUAAUACGGAGGGGGCUAGCGUUG